UAGUGAAGAUGUUGUUUUGGGUGAGAUCGAUUGGGAGGUUGCUGAGAUACUAGUCUAGGCUUGGGGUGAGGCUCUUCAAGCCAUAUCUUCUUCUAAUUUUCUAUUCUGCUUCUGCUAGUAUCCUUCAUGCGAUAUCAAGUAAGUCACACUAUUCUGUUCCUGAGUUUGUUGAUUAA